rnacentral:lncRNA from 10 species
UCCAGAGGCAGCUUCCUGAACAAAUACUUGAGGUCCUCUGUAGGCUUCCCGGAGUAGACUGUUUCCUCUGAAAAGGCCUGUUCAUCAGGAGAAGCAAAAGGUUUUAUUCUAGAGACAUGGACUCAAGUCGGAAGUCCUUCCAACGUUAUGACUGUUGGAGUGGACAAGAUAACCUGGGAGUGGUUACCUGGAGCCCUGGUGUCUUUGGAAGGACCAGAUACCCCAUAGCUUUUCUGCAGAAGCAGGUCACUGGGCAUCAAUGGGACAAAUAAUCACUCCAUGGCAUUAGCAUGUAUAUCAAGAAAGAGAAAGUCACUCUUUAAUAAAGCUAGAACACAC